GUGAAAGUUUCCAAGGGCGCAUGGUGGAUGCCUUGGCAACAGGAGCCGAAGAAGGACGUGGGAAUCUGCGAUAAGCCUGGUGGAGUCGAUAACCGGACGUUGAGACCAGGAUUUCCGAAUGGGGAAACCCCGCACGACGUGUCGUGUGACCCCCGGUUGAACACAUAGACCGGGUGGAGGGAACGUGGGGAAGUGAAACAUCUCAGUACCCACAGGAAGAGAAAACAAAAGUGAUUCCGUUAGUAGUGGCGAGCGAACGCGGAUGGGGCUAAACCGUAUGUGUGUGAUACCCGGCAGGGGUUGCAUGUGCGGUGUUGUGGGCCCCUCCUUGUCAUGUCUGCCGGCAUGGCGCAGUGAGGUGCGGGCAUAUAGACGAACCAGUGUGGAUGCUGGACCGUAGAGGGUGAGAGUCCCGUAGUCGAAAUGUGUUCCGCCGCUGUUGGRGGGUUGCCCGAGUAGCACGGGGCCCGAGGAAUCCCGUGUGAAUCUGCCAGGACCACCUGGUAAGCCUGAAUACUACCUGUUGACCGAUAGCGGAUCAGUACCGUGAGGGAAUGGUGAAAAGUACCCCGGGAGGGGAGUGAAAUAGUACCUGAAACCAUGUGCCUACAAACCGUUGGAGCCUCCUUGUGGGGUGACAGCGUGCCUUUUGAAGAAUGAGCCUGCGAGUUAGUGAUACGUGGCGAGGACCGUUGGAGCCUCCUUGUGGGGUGACAGCGUGCCUUUUGAAGAAUGAGCCUGCGAGUUAGUGAUACGUGGCGAGG
rnacentral:rRNA from 1 species